UCCAGGGUAGCCUAGUGGACAUGGCACCUGCCCGGUAAGCAGAAGGUUGUGGGUUCGAUGCCCGCCCCUGGAC